UAAAAAAAAAGUAAGUAACGAGAAAAGAAUAGCAAUAGAAUUCAAAAAAAUAGAAUUACGUAUCACUGCCACAUUAUAGCCCCCUCUCAAUUUUUACUAACAGAGCUAUAUCUUCGAAAACAACAGAAACAUUGGUUCAUCCAUUUUGUACGCGAAGUAAUUGAAGAAACUUUAUCUCUUACACACCUGUUUGGCGCCAUAAGAGAGGAUGUUUAUUGCAACAUUU